rnacentral:lncRNA from 12 species
UUUCCCCCUCUGUCCUGUUGCACAUAUCAAUGGGAGAGUGGUCAGAGCCCUUGGCAGGCACUCAGGUCUCUUCAGGAAACUUGAGUUGCUGCUGUGUGCAGGGAGCUGAGAGUUGUUUCAGUGGGACAGAGGGAAGGAGAAGGAUGUUUGCUGUUCCCUCGUGUGCCCCUGUGCGUGCUCAC